rnacentral:rRNA from 1 species
GACGAACGCUGGCGGCGUGCUUAACACAUGCAAGUCGAACGGAGUGGCGAACGGGUGAGUAACACGUGGGUGAUCUGCCGUGCACUUCGGGAUAAGCUUGGGAAACCGGGUACAAUACCGGAUAGUGCAAGAUGGGCGCGCGGCCUAUCAGCUGGUUGGUGGGGUACUGGCCUACCAGGGGGUCGAAGGGUAGCCGGCCUGAGAGGGUGUACGGCCACAUGGGGACUGAGGUACGGCCCAGUCUCCUACGGUGGGCAGCGGUGGGGAGUAUUGCACAGUCGGCGGAAGUCUGAUGCAGCGACGCUGCGUGGGGAAUGAAGUCCUUCGGGUUGUAAACUCCUUUCGACAGGGACGCGGUACCUGUAUAAGAAGCACCGGCUAACUACGUGCCAGCCGCCGCGGUAAUAC